GAAAUUAUAGUUUAAUCAAAAAUAUUUAAUUUGCAUUUAAAAGAAACCCGAGUUAAUUUUA
rnacentral:tRNA from 1 species